UACGGGGGGGGGCAAGCGUUGUUCGGAAUUACUGGGCGUAAAGGGCUCGUAGGCGGCCAACUAAGUCGGAUGUGAAAUCCCCAGGCUUAACCUGGGAACUGCAUCCGAUACUGGAUGGCUUGAAUCCGGGAGAGGGAUGCAGAAUUCCAGGUGUAGCGGUGAAAUGCGUAGAUAUCUGGAGGAAUACCGGUGGCGAAGGCGGCCCCCUGGACCGGUACUGACGCUGAGGCGCGAAAGCGUGGGUAGCAAACGGG
rnacentral:rRNA from 1 species